CCUAUACACCAACUCGAUGCUUUUGAGUGCUCACACAGAUUGCUUGUUUAUCCUGUCUUAGGACGGGUAGAGCGAAACAUCCCUCUAGCAGGUCGAUGUAGUUCUUUAACAAUUUGGAAAGCUGAUAGUAAUUAAUGGCAUGAGUCUGUCAUGUGAUUAAUUACAAAAAGUUUAAUGCGAAAGCAUUGAACAUUGAGUUCUCAAACACUUUAUUAAGUGUCUUGAAUAUUCAAGUCUAAGGCGCGUCCACUUCUUUGGUCAGAAGUGAGACAAGUAAAACCAGCUGGUCGCAACAAUUCAAGUGAUGUGAAACUCAUUUGGGUUGUAU
rnacentral:misc_RNA from 1 species